rnacentral:rRNA from 1 species
GGGGAAUAUUGGGCAAUGGGCGAAAGCCUGACCCAGCCACGCCGCGUGAGUGAUGAAGGCCUUCGGGUCGUAAAGCUCUGUGGGGGGGGACGAACAAGCUCCGGGCUAAUCACCGGGGACCUGACGGUACCUCCUUAGCAAGCACCGGCUAACCCUGUGCCAGCCGCCGCGGUAAUACAGGGGGUGCAAACGUUGCUCGGAAUCAUUGGGCGUAAAGCGCACGUAGGCGGUCUGUUAUGUCGGAUGUGAAAGCCCUCGGCUCAACUGAGGAAGUGCAUCCGAAACUGGCAGGCUAGAGUACUAAAGAGGGUCGCGGAAUUCCCGGUGUAGAGGUGAAAUUCGUAGAUAUCGGGAGGAACACCGGUGGCGAAGGCGGCGACCUGGGUAGAUACUGACGCUGAGGUGCGAAAGCGUGGGGAGCAAAC